CAGGUGCUGCAUGGCUGUCGUCAGCUCGUGUCGUGAGAUGUUCGGUUAAGUCCGCUAACGAGCGCAACCCUCGCUGUGUGUUACAAGUGUCACACGGUACUGCCGGUCUUAAGCCGGAGGAAGGUGGGGAUGACGUCAAGUCAGCAUGGCCUUUAUGUCCUGGGCUACACACACGCUACAAUGGCCAACACAAUAGGUUGCUAAGCCGCGAGGUGGAGCCAAUCCUCAAAGUUGGUCUCAGUUCAGAUUGCAGGCUGCAACCCGCCUGCAUGAAGAUGGAGUUGCUAGUAACCGCAGGUCAGCUAUACUGCGGUGAAUACGUUCCCGGGGCUU
rnacentral:rRNA from 1 species